rnacentral:rRNA from 1 species
UGAACGCUAGCGGCAGGCUUAACACAUGCAAGUCGAGGGGCAGCAUCAAUUGCUUGCAAUUGGAUGGCGACCGGCGCACGGGUGCGUAACGCGUAUAGAAUCUGCCUUGUACAGGAGGAUAGCCUUUAGAAAUGAAGAUUAAUACUCCAUAAUGUUGAGAUAUGGCAUCAUAUUUUAAUUAAAGAUUUAUCGGUACAAGAUGACUAUGCGUCCUAUUAGCUAGAUGGUAAGGUAACGGCUUACCAUGGCUACGAUAGGUAGGGGGUCUGAGAGGAUUAUCCCCCACACUGGUACUGAGACACGGACCAGACUCCUACGGGAGGCAGCAGUGAGGAAUAUUGGUCAAUGGAGGCAACUCUGAACCAGCCAUGCCGCGUGUAGGAAGACUGCCCUAUGGGUUGUAAACUACUUUUAUAUGGGAAGAAACCCCUCUACGUGUAGAGGCUUGACGGUACCAUAAGAAUAAGCACCGGCUAACUCCGUGCCAGCAGCCGCGGUAAUACGGAGGGUGCAAGCGUUAUCCGGAAUCAUUGGGUUUAAAGGGUCCGCAGGCGGUCAAUUAAGUCAGAGGUGAAAUCCUGCAGCUUAACUGUAGAACUGCCUUUGAUACUGGUUGACUUGAGUUAUACGGAAGUAGGUAGAAUAAGUAGUGUAGCGGUGAAAUGCAUAGAUAUUACUUAGAAUACCGAUUGCGAAGGCAGCCUACUACGUAUAUACUGACGCUCAGGACGAAAGCGUGGGGACGAACA